AUGAACGCUGGCGGCGUGCCUAAUCCCUGCCAGUCGAGCGAACAGACGAGGAGCUUGCUCCUCUGACGUUAGCGGCGGACGGGUGAGUAACACGUGGAUAACCUACCUAUAAGACUGGGAUAACUUCGGGAAACCGGAGCUAAUACCGGAUAAUAUAUUGAACCGCAUGGUUCAAUAGUGAAAGACGGUUUUGCUGUCACUUAUAGAUGGAUCCGCGCCGCAUUAGCUAGUUGGUAAGGUAACGGCUUACCAAGGCAACGAUGCGUAGCCGACCUGAGAGGGUGAUCGGCCACACUGGAACUGAGACACGGUCCAGACUCCUACGGGAGGCAGCAGUAGGGAAUCUUCCGCAAUGGGCGAAAGCCUGACGGAGCAACGCCGCGUGAGUGAUGAAGGUCUUCGGAUCGUAAAACUCUGUUAUUAGGGAAGAACAAAUGUGUAAGUAACUAUGCACGUCUUGACGGUACCUAAUCAGAAAGCCACGGCUAACUACGUG
rnacentral:rRNA from 1 species